AAUGAACGUUGGCGGCAUGGAUUAGGCAUGCAAGUCGAGCGAGAAGUGUAGCAAUACACGGAAAGCGGCGGAAGGGAGAGUAAUACGUGGGAAUCUGCCCUUAGACCUGGGAUAGCAGCGGGAAACUGCUGGUAAUACCAGAUAAUGUCUAUGGACCAAAGGUGUGAUUCCGUCUAGGGAUGAGCCCACGUCCUAUUAGCUGGUUGGUAGGGUAAUGGCCUACCAAGGCGAUGAUGGGUAGCGGGUGUGAGCAUGACCCGCCUCACUGGGACUGAGACACUGCCCAGACACCUACGGGUGGCUGCAGUCGAGAAUCUUCGGCAAUGGGCGCGAGCCUGACCGAGCGAUGCCGCGUGCGGGAUGAAGGCCUUCGGGUUGUAAACCGCUGUCGAGGGGGAGCAACUUCCAUAGAGUUAUCUUUAUGGAUUGAGUGAUCCCUGGAGGAAGGACGGGCUAAGUUCGUGCCAGCCGCCGCAGUAAUAC
rnacentral:rRNA from 1 species